ensembl:lncRNA
UGUUAUUUAUUUAUAUUUUUUUAAAUUGCUCCUUUGCACCGCAGUAUCUCUACUUGCACAUUCAUCUUCUGCACAUCUCACUAGAACACUUCAAAAUGAGAAGAUCCUGCCAUGGAAAAGAAGACUGGGUGGACAUAACGUGUAAAGGAGGGGAAAUAACUCAUAACAUGCAGCAGGACACCUUCAGCUGUGGGGUCUUUGUAAUAUGGCCAAGGAAGUUGCACAGAACUUCCCCAACAUCCCCUUCCAAAUUGAUAUGGAACCUUCAAAAGCACAUGGAGCAACUGCGGAAAGAAAUGGCUGAGGAUAGACAAAAAAUGUCUGAGUUCAACAAAGCCAACAACUGCUUCAUGUGGGCCACUGAUAAAGAACCUGGAUGUGGCCCAAAGACUGACUGGUAGGUUCACCAGCUGACCUAUAUCAAGACACCCAGGUUGACUGGAUUCCCCCUGUGAAGAUGAGUAAUGCUGCAGCAGCAUCAGUUUCUACUACUUCAUCUUUUUCCAGACAUGAAAGAAGACUCCCCUCAGUUAUAUGACAUGGUUGUCAUAUGCUGUGCUUUGGACAAUUUGAAUGAUUCUGUUGUGUCAAUUGAGUAGAGCACCUUGUCAUGACAAAAGUGCCCCCUUAAACUGUAUGAAUAUAAUGUAUUUGGAACGUUUCAAAGACUUGUUGAUAUUGUAAACAUACUGUACUUUAAGCCAUAUUGUUGUCCAAGUGUAAAGACAAGUAUUUUGUCAUCUUUGCUUUGCCUAGCCCCAUUGAAUAAAAAGUAUUUCUUAUGGCCCAACUAUUGCCAUGUUCCUUGCUUUUCAGAAACGUGGUUCUCAAACAAGGUGCACCCCAUGGCUAUCCAACUCGAUGGAUUCUUCUUUCACCAGGCAGACAGGAUAGUGGAGUUGGUUCCGGUCAUUUUAAUUUGGCGUCACUAAAUCAAAAAGAUAUAUAAUUCACAUGCGCCAAAUACAACAGGUAUAGAUAGACCUUACAGUGAAAUGCUUACUUACAAGCCCUUAGCCAACAAUGCAGUUAGGAAAAAUAAGUGUUAAAGUAUUUACUGAAAUAAACUGAAGAAAAUAAUGAAUAAAAAAAUUGGUGCAACAAUAAAAUAACAUUAGUCAAGGUAAUAUGUACAUGUAGGUAGAGGUAAAGUGACUAUGUUUGUAUAAUAAACAGAGUAGCAGAAAAAGUUUGGCAUGGGCUCUCAAAUCCUGAAAAGGUUCUACAACUGUACCUUUGAGAGCAUAUGGACUGGCUGCAUCACUGCUUGGUAUAGCAAUAGCAUCGCCCUCGAUCGCAUGGCGCUACAGAGGGUUGUAUGGGCAGCCCAGUACAUCACUGAGGCCGAGCUCCCUGCCAUCCUGGACCUCCAUAUCAGGUGAAAGACCCCAACCACCCAUGCCAUAGAUUCUCUGCUGCAGCACAGCAAGAGCUUGAACAGCUUCUAUCCCCAAGCAAUACGACUGAUAAUUAGCUAACAAAAUUGCUACACGGACCAAGUUUACCUUGCAUCUUUAUUGACCUUUUAUUUCAGUGUUUUACACCGUCUAUGCACACUCACAGGGCCCUACACACUGUCACUCCAAAACAAACACUCCAUUUUCUCACUCACACAUAAUAUGCACAUACAUUUAUACAAGCUACACACCCACACGCUGCUGUUACUCUGUUUAUCUUAUAUCCUGUUGCCUAAUCACCUUACCCCUAUACAUAUCUACCUCUAUCACCCCAGUAUCCCUGCACAUGUAAAUAUGGUAUUGGAACAAACUUUUUAAAUAUUUCCUGUAUAUAGUAUGUUUGUUUACUUUAUUGUGUAUUUCAUAUUUCUUGUGUGCUUUUUUCUAGAAAUACAUUUGAUUAUUGCAUUGCUGGUUUUUGAGUUUGCAUUAAAGGCAUUUUACUGUGCAUGUGA